UGAGAAUCCUAGUCAUUGGCCAAGCAGCAUUUGUACCUAAUCAUCUUCCUCUCUGUUAAGACGAGCCUGAGGAUGCUGACUGAGUUUGUAUCGUGUAGAAUGCAGCUUGUGGACUCUCUACUGCCAGAAGGUCAGAGCUUGCUGUAAUGGAUCUGACUUAAGCUGACUAGAACAGGCAUGGGCAUGAAGCAUGGCACAGAGGCUCACAUCCAGAUGGAGGCACACAUCAGGAAUGGCCCUUGGCUGGUUAUUCUGACUUAAAGUUUACUUACCCACAAAAUUCUUUUUGAGAUUUUCCUAAUGCUGCCAUUUUAUAGAUUUUCUUAAACUUGCCUCCCUGGAAGAGUGAGCAUAAUUAUGGGACUCUUAAUUUUAAGUGCCCCCAAUCAGCCCAUAGUGCUAAAUUCAUCCUUAGGUUAGAUCAUUAUAAAUUUUUGAAACAUGUGGUUGAUAUACAAAGCCUGAUAUGGACACUUCUGUGUAAUCUCAGGGGCAUUGGAAGACUUUGCAACAGUCUUCCCUUCCAUGAAGCAGACAAUAGUAUGACCAAACAUAGAUGAGCAGUAGACAAAUUGCAUUAACCAGGAAAUAUAAAUUCUGAAUAUGUAACAGAUCACAGAGUCUUCUUGGCGGGGUCUCUGGAAAUUGCUUCUGGAAUAUACAGCUUCUUUCCUCAGAUCUGGUCCUAUUUUCAUCACAGCAAAACUCUUUACUGAAGUGAAAUUCCAGAUUAAAGUACAAUAAGCAAAUAAAUUGAUUCUGAAACUGGAGAAAGUAGAUUAGGGCCACAUUCUGGAAGUUCCUUGUGUAUGGUCACAGAAUCUUUUGACUCCUCCAAAUCUAACUUAGAAAGUACCUUUGCUAAAACAUCACUUGGCUCACUUGGGUUCACAAAGCUGUUAAAUGCAGGCUGAUACUUUCAUCUCUGUCUGCACUUUGUGUGUUUCUCCUUCACAUUAGACCACUGGUUCACCUCUCCAUAGAGGUAUGUUGAUUGCCAGAGGAGCAUCUGUUUAGAAACCAACUGUAACUAAACUAUUUUAUUUCCCUUCAAACUCAAAGGUGCAAUUAUAUUAAUAAUGGAGGCAUCUUAUUGUCGCUUUUAAACAGUGAUUUUACAGAUCACACAAAAGACACUUAAAAGUCUCCGUUUUUUUGUUUGUUUGUUUGUUUGUUUUUGCAUGAACUUGCAGUCACUUAGGAUACCAGGAAGAACAGUUAUCAAUUAUGGUGAGGCUUUACUCCGAACCAGAGGAGACCAUCUUAUGGAAGUAGAUUGCUCUUUUCAAACAUUGAGGCCUUCUGCGAGUCACCUCAUAGAACCAGAACUGAGACUUACUAUAGUCAAAUAUACUGGACCAUGCCCAGAAUGCUCAAUUAUGUAUGAGUUUAGUGCUUGCCCUGAAGCUUCCAUUGAAACAUAAAGAUCAUGUCAAUGAAAAUA